GCGCCUGUAGCUCAGGGGAUAGAGCGUCUGCCUCCGAAGCAGAAGGCCGCAGGUUCAAUUCCUGCCAGGCGCA
rnacentral:tRNA from 1 species